UACGGGGGGGGCAAGCGUUGUUCGGAAUUACUGGGCGUAAAGGGCUCGUAGGUGGCCAACUAAGUCAGACGUGAAAUCCCUCGGCUUAACCGGGGAACUGCGUCUGAUACUGGAUGGCUUGAGUUCGGGAGAGGGAUGCGGAAUUCCAGGUGUAGCGGUGAAAUGCGUAGAUAUUGGGAAGAACACCGGUAGCGAAGGCGGCUACCUGGACCGGCACUGACGCUGAGGCGCGAAAGCCAGGGGAGCGAAUGGG
rnacentral:rRNA from 1 species